AGAGUUUGAUCAUGGCUCAGAUUGAACGCUGGCGGCAGGCCUAACACAUGCAAGUCGAGCGGUAGCACAGAGAGCUUGCUCUCGGGUGACGAGCGGCGGACGGGUGAGUAAUGUCUGGGAAACUGCCUGAUGGAGGGGGAUAACUACUGGAAACGGUAGCUAAUACCGCAUAAUGUCGCAAGACCAAAGUGGGGGACCUUCGGGCCUCAUGCCAUCAGAUGUGCCCAGAUGGGAUUAGCUAGUAGGUGGGGUAACGGCUCACCUAGGCGACGAUCCCUAGCUGGUCUGAGAGGAUGACCAGCCACACUGGAACUGAGACACGGUCCAGACUCCUACGGGAGGCAGCAGUGGGGAAUAUUGCACAAUGGGCGCAAGCCUGAUGCAGCCAUGCCGCGUGUGUGAAGAAGGCCUUCGGGUUGUAAAGCACUUUCAGCGGGGAGGAAGGCGGUGAGGUUAAUAACCUCAGCGAUUGACGUUACCCGCAGAAGAAGCACCGGCUAACUCCGUGCCAGCAGCCGCGGUAAUACGGAGGGUGCAAGCGUUAAUCGGAAUUACUGGGCGUAAAGCGCACGCAGGCGGUCUGUCAAGUCGGAUGUGAAAUCCCCGGGCUCAACCUGGGAACUGCAUUCGAAACUGGCAGGCUAGAGUCUUGUAGAGGGGGGUAGAAUUCCAGGUGUAGCGGUGAAAUGCGUAGAGAUCUGGAGGAAUACCGGUGGCGAAGGCGGCCCCCUGGACAAAGACUGACGCUCAGGUGCGAAAGCGUGGGGAGCAAACAGGAUUAGAUACCCUGGUAGUCCACGCCGUAAACGAUGUCGAUUUGGAGGUUGUGCCCUUGAGGCGUGGCUUCCGGAGCUAACGCGUUAAAUCGACCGCCUGGGGAGUACGGCCGCAAGGUUAAAACUCAAAUGAAUUGACGGGGGCCCGCACAAGCGGUGGAGCAUGUGGUUUAAUUCGAUGCAACGCGAAGAACCUUACCUGGUCUUGACAUCCACAGAACUUUCCAGAGAUGGAUUGGUGCCUUCGGGAACUGUGAGACAGGUGCUGCAUGGCUGUCGUCAGCUCGUGUUGUGAAAUGUUGGGUUAAGUCCCGCAACGAGCGCAACCCUUAUCCUUUGUUGCCAGCGGUUAGGCCGGGAACUCAAAGGAGACUGCCAGUGAUAAACUGGAGGAAGGUGGGGAUGACGUCAAGUCAUCAUGGCCCUUACGACCAGGGCUACACACGUGCUACAAUGGCAUAUACAAAGAGAAGCGACCUCGCGAGAGCAAGCGGACCUCAUAAAGUAUGUCGUAGUCCGGAUUGGAGUCUGCAACUCGACUCCAUGAAGUCGGAAUCGCUAGUAAUCGUAGAUCAGAAUGCUACGGUGAAUACGUUCCCGGGCCUUGUACACACCGCCCGUCACACCAUGGGAGUGGGUUGCAAAAGAAGUAGGUAGCUUAACCUUCGGGAGGGCGCUUACCACUUUGUGAUUCAUGACUGGGGUGAAGUCGUAACAAGGUAACCGUAGGGGAACCUGCGGUUG
rnacentral:rRNA from 1 species